UUUUUUUAAUGGUUAUUUACCUAUAUAUGACAAUUGCACAUCAUAAAUAAUAGGCAGACAACAACUGGACUAUCCACCUAACACAUUUACCAACAGGCUACUUACUACUAAUUUUUUUUAAUAGAACAGCAUAUUUCAUUGAUGAAAUAUGGUUACAAGGUCUCUAAGUCUACUAAGACAAUGCAACAAAAUUUCAUCCAAACUCUUAAAAAAAAGACCUAAAUCCUAAAAAAAUCUGGAUCUCUAGGCUAAACGGAUAUGAGUCUUAAACCAUCUUCUUCGGCAAACUAAUGCCAACUCCUCUUCACUAACAAUGCUCCACCUGCCUUCAAACAAAAUAUGCAAGGCACCUUGAAACUCUAUUAAUUACACAAGUACCCAGGCAAACCAAAUGCCCUCCUUGCUUCAUGCUAUCAAACGCAGAUGGACAACGGGAGAAAUGCAGCAAAACUCGAAAAACUAAGGACUAAGAUAAUGUCGGACGAACUGGGAAAGGUUUGGCAAAAGUGACCAAAGCAGCGUUCACCUUCGAGAUUGCUAGCCGACAAAGCUCCAAACAGCUUCACAACACACAUCAAGGGAGCCGACUACAACAUAUAAAGCUUUCCACACAAACCCAAUUAAAACCCCAUCCAGAAAAUGAGCAAAAGGACUCCAAAAAAGAGACUGAAUAAAACAAGGAAAAACGAAAAAGACACUGGCUAAAAAACUAAAGUAAACUAUCUCAAGAAAGGGGUUAGGGGGAAAUCAAUGGCCAGACGGUCGGACCUCCCCUAGAAAUUACACUGGGUUAAAAGCUUUUAGAGAGAAG
rnacentral:misc_RNA from 1 species